GGAGAAGAAGAGGUUGCAGCUCUCAUCAUUGAACUGCUCAUGGCACAUUUUAAGGAAAAAACAGAGGACCUCAUACUUAAGACAGAGCUAGUGCUGCUAACGUGGAAAGGACCCUUGACCGGGCAGAGAGCCCAUGGUUGAUUAUUCCUGGUGAAAAGCUUAGUGGACAGAAAUGGAUGGUUGGAAUUGAAGGCCAGGUGGUAUGUGAAGUGGUGCAGCCCACGUUUUCAUCUGGACUGGCAACACUCUUUGCAUGCUAUUACAACUUUAACCUCCAGUAUCAAGAGACUGCUGCCUGUACUCUUGAAUUCAU